CCUGAAAGGGCGGGGUGCCCGCAAGGGAGCGUGGAGACAGGUGGUGCAUGGCUGUCGUCAGCUCGUGUCGUGAGAUGUUGGGUUAAGUCCCGCAACGAGCGCAACCCUCACCCCUAGUUGCCACCGGGUAAAGCCGAGCACUCGAGGGGAACUGCCAGCGUCAAGCUGGAGGAAGGCGGGGAUGACGUCAAGUCAUCAUGCCCCUUACGCCCUGGGCUACACACGUGCUACAAUGGCCAGUACAAAGGGAUGCGAGACCGCAAGGUGGAGCUAAUCCCAGAAAGCUGGUCUAAGUUCGGAUUGCAGUCUGCAACUCGACUGCAUGAAGUAGGAAUCGCUAGUAAUCGCGCAUCAGCACGGCGCGGUGAAUACGUUCCCGGGCCUUGUACACACCGCCCGUCACACCACGAAAGCUGU
rnacentral:rRNA from 1 species